rnacentral:rRNA from 1 species
AGCAGCCGCGGUAAUUCCAGCUCCAAUAGCGUAUAUUAAAGUUGUUGCAGUUAAAAAGCUCGUAGUUGAAUUUCGGGAUCAGUAGGUCGGUCGUGCCACUGGUAUGCACUGGCCUCACUGGUUCCUCCUUCCUGAUGAACCGUAAUGCCAUUAAUUUGGUGUUGCGGGGAAACUGGACUGUUACUUUGAAAAAAUUAGAGUGUUUAAAGCAGGCUAACGCUUGAAUACAUUAGCAUGGAAUAAUGAAAUAGGACGAUCGAUCCUAUUUUGUUGGUUUCUAGGAUUGACGUAAUGAUUAAUAGGGAUAGUUGGGGGCAUUAGUAUUCAAUUGUCAGGGGUGAAAUUCUUGGAUUUAUUGAAGACUAACUACUGCGAAAGCAUUUGCCAAGGAUGUUUUCAUUAAUCAAGAACGAAAGUUAGGGGAUCGAAGACGAUCAGAUACCGUCGUAGUCUUAACCAUAAACUAUGCCGACUAGGGAUCGGAUGAUGUUAAUUUUUAAUGUACUCAUUCGGCGCCUUA